CUACACGGGUAUCUAAUCCUGUUCGCUACCUACGCUUUCGUCCAUCAGCGUCAGUGCACUGUUAGCGGCCUGCCUUCGCAAUAGGUGUUCUGAGUAAUAUCUAUGCAUUUCACCGCUACACUACUCAUUCCAACCACUUCACAGUGACUCAAGGCAACCAGUAUCAAUGGCAGUUCCCCCGUUGAGCGGGGGACUUUCACCACUGACUUAACUGCCCGCCUACGGACCCUUUAAACCCAAUGAUUCCGGAUAACGCUUGGAUCCUCCGUAUUACCGCGGCUGCUGGCAC
rnacentral:rRNA from 1 species